UCCAAAUGAGGUGUGUGGUUGACUGGUCAGUUUGUAACUCUGGUGUUUGUAACUCUGAGGUUCUACGGUACUGAGGUAACCUCUUUUGGCUAUCCAAGGACCAGAUUCUGAUACCUUUACUCACAUAGAGUAGCACUUUACUCCACAUGUGGUCCCACUGAAGUGAAUGGGACUAUUCCUGGAAUUAGGUGCUGCUCACGGUGAAUAAGAGUACCGUAUCUGGAUUUAAGUCAAAUGGCAAGUUUUUACCAGUGAUUUCUGUCCAUCAUUAGUUUGAAUCUGAAGCCAGUUGGUUGUGAUAAAAAAAAGUCAUGAUCUACAUGGACAAUGAAUGAAAUGAGGUGGUCAUCUCAGGCCAGUUCUUAAUGAGAGUCCACAUCACAAAAAACAAUACUCCAACUGGCAAUCACAACAGAGCUCCAGGCGUGAAUGAGCACUGAGAAUGAACUACCCUCUUACUGCUAAAGAGGAUUGCCAUUAGAUCUAGGUUGGGACACAUUGUUGAGUUGCUGUUGAGGUAAAUUGCAAUGCUACUUGCCUGCAUUGUUCUGUGGAUCAGUGAUUUAGGCAAUCCUAUCAAUGUAUCUCCUUUACCAAGAUGACACAUUUUGUGCAUUUACCUUUUAGAGUCUAGAAGUUGUUAUUUUUAAUAUCCGGGUGAAAAAAUGUGUGUUUUGUCUAUAUACUCUUUAUAUAUUAUCAUGACAAGUAAAAACUUGCCAUUUGACUCUAGAUCCAAAUACCCUUAUUCAUAGUGAGCAGCACCUCACUCCACGUAUCAGAAUCUGGUGAAAGCAGAAGCUGGUGAAACCUUGUUAUGGGUUGAGUUAAAGCCCCAUUGAGAUUAGUAAGUUUGAACUCAACCUUUAGUUAACAUAACGAUAAGUAUAAGCCCCUCACCUCUGACAAAAGGCAUGUGUUUACCAGCUUGCAGCCUAGUGUUGUUUGGGCUAGUGUGUGUGUGUGUGUGUGUGUUUGUGUGUGUGUGUGUGUAUGUGUGUGAGAGAGAGAGAAGAGAGAUCACAUAGAAAUGAAGAUUAGCCAAGAACAGACUGAGGAUAUGUCUACACUACCCGCUGGAUCGGCAUAUCGAUAUAUCGAUCCCCGAACUUGCUCCCAUCGACUCCGGAACUCCACCAGGGUGAGCGGCGGUAGCAGAGUCGACGGGGGGAGCCGUGGCCAUCGAUCCCGCGCUGUGAGGACGGGAGUUCUGUUGAGAAGAUGCUCAUCAAGGAGAGCAGAAGCAGCAGUGCAACAAACCAGUGGGAUUAUGUUGAAAGUCAAGGAGUGGAUUGUGAGGACAGAGUGUGUUGUCUGACCACUUCCCCAUCGCAAUUAAGGAUUGAAACCACUUGCUUACGCACAGCUGAGACCAUCAUACCUAACCCCAGAGGAGGCCAGAAACUCCCAGCACACUGCUUUUCCCAGGCCGGGCAAGGGGCCCAGAGCACUGAAGGACAACAUGCUGUAUGUUAGAGGACUGUCAGAUGGUGACAAUCCAAAUGAGUGGAAACCUUUACAACAGUGAUGGUUCUUCUCGGUGUUGAAAGACUGACCCUCAUGGACAUAAAAAAAGACUAUCUAGCUUCAUCUGUCUCACCAUCUUCUGUGGCUCAAGCCCUUGCGGUAGGGCACUUCCCCAGACUACUGGAAACAGCCAGAUGCAGUGGUGGUAUAUUGAGACCUUUGUCUCAUUCAGUACAAGAUGGAUAGUGCUCAGAGACUGCAUCACAGCUGCGGAGUGAAUGAGGCUAUGGUAUCAAAUUGUGUGUAUCUCCUCAGCCUCAUGUGCUGCAGAAGUUGGAAGUGAGACAACCUGGUCCCCAGGUGCCCCGGAGGGCGAAGAGCCCAGCCGGAGGCCGGACUGGGCGGAGCUACGGGGCUCUGGGCCCGCCCCGCAAAGGGUCAAGCCCCGACCCGGAAGUACAAAGGCAGGCCCUCCGCGCUCAGUAAGGGGCCAGCCCUCAAAGAGGCCGGACGUCCGCGACUGAGCUCCCGCCGGGGAGGCUGCAGAAGGCGGCGGCCGACCCAGCCUCCCCCUCGCUCGCUACCCGGAGGAGGACUGGCCGAGCUUGCCCCGCUCCCGCUACCCGGAGGAGGACUGGCCGAGCCUGCCCCGUUCCUGCUACCCGGAGGAGGAAUCGAGCCUGACCGUGGCCGCUGACCCCGAGGGCCCGCUGAGCCCACCCGUGCAUCCACACCCGGAGGAGCCAAUGGUGGUUGACCCCGCUGACGAAGCCAUGACGACUCAGGUACCCGAAGAGGGAGGAAGUGAAAGUAGCCCAGGGCAGCCGACUCCAGUCUGGCUGCAACGUGGCCAGAACCGAUGUCAGUGUGUUGUGGCUUGGAUCCCCACUGACAGCAGCGAGUCUUUGCCACUGCUAGGGCCCCGGGCUGGGGUGCAGUGGAGUGGGAGGGCCUGCGUCCCCCGUGUCACCCACUCCUUGGGUGGCAGAGUCCCCCCUCCCCUUGGUCUGAGGAGGCUUUAUAGACUUUACCUGAACUGCUGCUCAGCCCUGCCUGAGGGUCUGAGCCCUGUACCUGUGUUUGCUGCCCCACCCUGAACCAGGGCUUGGGCUUUAUAGAUUUCCCCGACUGUACUACCCGUGUCUAGUGAGGCGACCUGGUCCCCAGGCGGCCGGUGGGCAAAGAGCAGCCCCUCAACCGACAGGGGACCCUUUACACUCUGAUGUUUAAAAAA